rnacentral:rRNA from 1 species
UGGGGAAUCUUGCACAAUGGAGGAAACUCUGAUGCAGCGAUGCCGCGUGAGUGAAGAAGGCCUUUGGGUUGUAAAGCUCUUUCGUCGGGGAAGAAAAUGACUGUACCCGAAUAAGAAGGUCCGGCUAACCUCGUGCCAGCAGCCGCGGUAAUACGAAGGGACCUAGCGUAGUUCGGAAUUACUGGGCUUAAAGAGUUCGUAGGUGGUUGGAAAAGUUGGUGGUGAAAUCCCAGAGCUUAACUCUGGAACUGCCAUCAAAACUUUUCAGCUAGAGUAUGAUAGAGGAAAGCAGAAUUUUCUAGUGUAGAGGUGAAAUUCGUAGAUAUUAGAAAGAAUACCAAUUGCGAAGGCAGCUUUCUGGAUCAUUACUGACACUGAGGAACGAAAGCAUGGGUAGCGAAGAGGAUUAGAUACC